rnacentral:rRNA from 1 species
ACGGAAGGCAGCAGUGAGGAAUAUUGGUCAAUGGAGGCAACUCUGAACCAGCCAUCUCGCGUGAAGGAAUACGGCCCUAUGGGUCUUAAACUCCUUUUAUAGGGGGAUAAAGUGAGGCAUGCAUGCCUUUUUGUAGGUACCCUAUGAAUAAGCAUCGGCUAACUCCGUGCCAGCAGCCGCGGUAAUACGGAGGAUGCGAGCGUUAUCCGGAUUUAUUGGGUUUAAAGGGUGCGCAGGCGGCACGUUAAGUCAGCGGUGAAAUGCAGGGGCUCAACCCCGGCACUGCCGUUGAAACUGGCGAGCUCGAGUACGGAUGAAGUCGGCGGAAUGUGAUGUGCAGCGGUGAAAUGCUUAGAUAUGUCACAGAACACCGAUUGCGAAGGCAGCUGACUAAUCCGCAACUGACGCUCAGGCACGAAAGCGUGGGGAUCGAACAGGAUUAGAUACCCUGGUA